AUUGAACGCUGGCGGCAGGCCUAACACAUGCAAGUCGAACGAGUGGCGGACGGGUGAGUAAUGUCUGGGAAACUGACCGAUGGAGGGGGAUAACUACUGGAAACGGUAGCUCAUACCGCAUACCAUCGGCUGUGCCAAAAUGGGAGUAGCUAGUAGGUGGGGUAACGGCACACAUAGGCGAAUAUCCCUAGCGGGUCUGAGAGGAUGACCAGCAAAAAGGGAACUGAGACACGGUACAGACUCCUACGGGAGGCAGCAUUGGGGAAGAUUGCAAAAUGGGCGAAAGCCUGAUGCAGCCAUGCCGCGUGUAUGAAGAAGGCCUUCGGGUUGUAAAGUACUGUCAGCGAGGAGGCGUUACUCGAAGAAGAAGCACCGGCUAAGUACGUGACAGCCGCCGCGGUAAUUC
rnacentral:rRNA from 1 species